rnacentral:lncRNA from 1 species
CCCAGGGAGAGUGUGCUGACAGAAUGUUAUGCCCAGGACAGCAGCUUCUGUCUAGUGUCUUCUCAGGAAGAGUGCAUCCCAUCACUUGCAGGGGGAUGAAGAAACAGCUAGGGUAGCACUGGGAAUAGCAGGAUGGUGCGGGGAGCAAGGAUAUGGAUGAUCUGCAAAUGGAAACCUGGAAACUGAAUGAUCAGAGCCUUAACCAUGCUGCACACGAGGUCUCCACUAGGCUACGUCAUCAUCUGAAGCUCAUCCAGGCUGUCAACAAAAUUCAGCCCAGUGUUUCGCUGGCUGUUGGUGGGAUGCCAUACUUAGGCCCAGGAGGCUGCCCAUAGUCCCCACCAUAUGGCCUCCAGAUAAGCUGUUCACGACACUGCAGAUGAUUUCAUCGUGGCCAGUCUGUGUAUCUUCUUCACUCACUGACUUUUGUGUAACAAAAUGUAUCUAAUCAGCAAGAGAUUAGAUACAUUUCAUCCCUUUUGCACAUUCUAAGCUUCAGUGGGUUCUAUCUGAGCUCAAGGGGCUUGGACAAGGACUUUGGGGUCAUAGGAGGGUGUCUUUUAUUGCUACCUGGACUAUGAGAAGAUGAAGUGCUUUCCCCUGACCCCAGCAAUUGCCGGGUGUAGGGAUUUCAGGGAGCCAUUUUUCUUGUCUCAGUAUCAUUCAUAUGUAAAUUCCAGCUAGUAAUUUGCUUCCUGUCCACAUUGAAGCUUUUGGGGAGGUUAACUGAGACCACACAUGUGUAGAAGAUAUAAA